GGCUGGGUAGCAAAGAGGCCAUGCAGCGGACUGCAACUCCGCGUACACCGGUUCGAAUCCGGUCCCAGCCU
rnacentral:tRNA from 1 species